rnacentral:lncRNA from 1 species
UCUGCAUACGGGGAAACCAAAUCCCAGAAAAGGCUGCCCUUGAAGGCAGAUAUUUUAUCUCUAUUUUACAGACACGGACACAAGCUAAGAGAAGCUCCAUGGUUCAGGAUGCCAAGACCUCUCCCACUGCAUGGUGAGAGUCAGCUGAGGUCAACAAGAUGGAAGCUGGCAGGCAGGCAUAGCACUAACCCAGGGAACCUGUUCUAGCUCCUGAGACAGGGAUCCUGACAUGCCACACAUAUGCAAAGCAAGCCCUGGGCCCGGCCUUGCUGAGAGCUGUGUAGACACAUCACAACUCUCAGGUGGGCCGUGCUGACUCACAGGGAAAGCACGGCACUACUGUCCCCAGCCCACCCCAGCCCACAGGAGUCACCUACUGGGCUGCUCCACAACCUUAGGGGAUUAAGCUCCCCCUGUCAACCUGUGAGGUCAUCUUGUAAGUGGAUGGACUGCGAGGGGACUCACUGCUGCAGUAGCCGGCUCCUGCGAGGCUCCUGCGAGGCUCCUGCCAGCGAGAGCUAUUCUUGGGGUGCUUCUCUGAGUUCCUUGUUCUGCUUUCUUUCGGAGGCUGAGGGAUCCCUAGAGUGAGGUAGCCCUCUUACCGGCAUUCAGCUUGUGUGGAUGGUGAUACGAAUAGGUCACUCCUUGAAGCUCGGGGCUUAUAUCUGAGACCCCUGUGGGACCUUUGGACCUAAGAAUUAGCAGAAAGGGUCUCUUCCUUUGAAUAAAAGAACUCCAUUCUCCAGAAAACAGUGAUACAGAGAAUA